rnacentral:rRNA from 1 species
CCUACGGGGGCAGCAGUGGGGAAUAUUGGACAAUGGGGGCAACCCUGAUCCAGCCAUGCCGCGUGUGUGAAGAAGGCCCUCGGGUUGUAAAGCACUUUCAGUGAGGAAGAACGCCUGGUGGUUAAUACCCAUCAGGAAAGACAUCACUCACAGAAGAAGCACCGGCUAACUCCGUGCCAGCAGCCGCGGUAAUACGGAGGGUGCGAGCGUUAAUCGGAAUUACUGGGCGUAAAGCGCGCGUAGGUGGCUUGAUAAGCCGGUUGUGAAAGCCCCGGGCUCAACCUGGGAACGGCAUCCGGAACUGUCAAGCUAGAGUGCAGGAGAGGAAGGUAGAAUUCCCGGUGUAGCGGUGAAAUGCGUAGAGAUCGGGAGGAAUACCAGUGGCGAAGGCGGCCUUCUGGACUGACACUGACACUGAGGUGCGAAAGCGUGGGUAGCAAACAGGAUUAGAUACCCCAGUAGUC